rnacentral:rRNA from 1 species
UACGUAGGGGGCUAGCGUUGUUCGGAUUUACUGGGCGUAAAGCGCACGUAGGCGGAUCGAUCAGUCAGGGGUGAAAUCCCAGAGCUCAACUCUGGAACUGCCUUUGAUACUGUCGAUCUGGAGUAUGGAAGAGGUGAGUGGAAUUCCGAGUGUAGAGGUGAAAUUCGUAGAUAUUCGGAGGAACACCAGUGGCGAAGGCGGCUCACUGGUCCAUUACUGACGCUGAGGUGCGAAAGCGUGGGGAGCAAACAGG